CGAAUAUAUCAUCUACCGAAUUCAUCAUCAGAGCAGCGAAGAGAAGCUUACUACGUUGUCGUGCAAAAUCUCUCCUGGGUCCAAAUUUCUCCCGGGUGACGCCACUGCGCAUGAACACCAUAUCGAGGCGACAACAUCAAAACAUCACCCAGCGCUGACGAACCAGAAUGAACAAGAAGGUCCCUAGCGCGUCCCUCUCGGCCAUCUGCUCUCUCUGUGCCCUGAACUUCACUUCUCAGCGCGGAAAGAGGAGGCAGAGCCUACCACCACCACCACUACCACUGCUACCACCACCACCACCACCUGCACCUCUACCUUCGCCCCUCCCGCCGCCCUGCCCGCCGCUGCUGCUCGGAGGGUGUUCGUGCGUGGCAUGGAGUUUUUAAGGUUUGUGAGAGGUAUUUUUUCUCUGUUCAU